UACGAAGGGUGCAAGCGUUAAUCGGAAUUACUGGGCGUAAAGGGCGCGUAGGCGGUUGUUUAAGUCUGUCGUGAAAUCCCCGGGCUCAACCUGGGAAUGGCGAUGGAUACUGGGCAGCUAGAGUGUGGCAGAGGAUGGUGGAAUUCCCGGUGUAGCGGUGAAAUGCGUAGAGAUCGGGAGGAACAUCAGUGGCGAAGGCGGCCAGCUGGGACAACACUGACGCUGAAGCACGAAAGCGUGGGGAGCAAACAGG
rnacentral:rRNA from 1 species